rnacentral:rRNA from 1 species
GACCGUUUCACUACGGAAGGGCUGUAUUUAUUGGAUACCAAAACCAUCCUUCCCUCGGGAAGUUUUGUUUGAUGAUUCACAAUAACUGAUCGGAUCGCCACUGUGGUGGCGACAGGUCAUUCAACAUUCUGCCCUAUCAGCUUUCGAUGGUUGUGUAGUGGACAACCAUGGCCAUAACGGGUAACGGAGAAUCAGGGUUCGAUUCCGGAGAAGGAGCUUGAGAAUUGGCUACUACAUCUAAGGAAGGCAGCAGGCGCGCAAAUUACCCAAUCCCGAUUCGGGGAGGUAGUGACAAAAAAUAACAAUACCGGGCCUUUUUGGGCUUGGUAAUUGGAAUGAGGGAGAGUUAAACGGACCAUCGAGUAUCCAUUGGAGGGCAAGUCUGGUGCCAGCAGCUGCGGUAAUACCAGCUCCAAUAGCGUAUAUUAAAGUUGUUGCAGUUUAAAAGCUCGUAGUUGGACUUGUGUGCGCUGUCCGCGGGUGGCCUGCGCCCAAAAGGGCGUUUCGGUUCGGCCCCGGUGGCGCCUUGAAAUCUGCAGCUGGGGGGACGUUGGCCUUAACUGGUCGGCGACCGCACGCCGGCUGCUCGGUUACUGUGAGAAAAUUAGAGUGUUCAGGGCAGGCAUUGGGUGCAAUUGAAUACAUUAGCAUGGAAUAAUAAAAUAUGGCUCCUGCCGUAUUUUGUUGGUUUUGACUGGUGGGAGUAAUGAUUGAUAGGGACGGUUGGGGGUGCUAGUAUUGAGCGGCCAGAGGUGAAAUUCAUGGAUUCGCUCAAGACUAACUUAUGCGAGAGCAUUCACCAAGGACGUCCUCUUUAAUCAAGAACGAAAGUUGGGGGAUCGAAGACGAUCAGAUACCGUCGUAGUCUCAACCAUAAACUAUGUCGACUUGGGAUCGGCGGUAGUUUUUUCAUUAAGACACUGUCGGGACCACGGGAGAAAUCAAAGUGUCUGGACUCUGGGGGAAGUAUGGUCGCAAGGCUGAAACUUGAAGGAAUUGACGGAAGGGCACCACCAGGAGUGGAGCCUGCGGCUUAAUUUGACGCAACACGGGGAAACUUACCAGGUCCAGAGAUGUAGAGGAUUGACAGAUUGAAGCUCUUUCUUGAUCACUUCGGUGGUGGUGCAUGGCCGUUCUUAGUUGGUGGAGUGAUUUGUCUGGUUAAUUCCGUUAACGAACGAGACCUCAGCCUGCUAGUGUAGUCGGCUGGAUUGCA